GAAAAGUAAUCCUACUAUGGGCCUGGAAAGAGAACCCAAAGUUCUUGACGUUCUGGCAGCCCAUAAGGAAACGUGUUUAUCUUGAAAGCACCUGGCAGAGACGGCACGGAUGGAGCUGAGCUGGUGAAAAGACCCCAUUUCUCAAACCCAGCUUUCUACAUGGAAUUAUUCAAAGGGAACCCUUAUCAAGCAGCCUUCCAGCUCCGGUGCCAUCCAUCUUCUAAAGCAAACAUUUAUCGAGCUCCUACUAUGUGCCAGCUGUGUCAGAGGUCUCCUACCUCCCCAGACCUUCAGUGUUUCCUGUCUCAAGCCAUUGGCAAUUCCACCUUCUCAGUUCAAGUGAAGAAGCUGGAAGUUACCUAUGGGUCUGUUCUUUCUGUAGCAGCCUCUCCUCCAGCAAAUUAUUUCAGCCCUACCUUCAAAAUACAUCCAGAAUCCGGAAA
rnacentral:lncRNA from 1 species